GACGAACGCUGGCGGCGUGCUUAACACAUGCAAGUCGAACGGAAAGGCCCUGCUUUUGUGGGGUGCUCGAGUGGCGAACGGGUGAGUAACACGUGAGUAACCUGCCCUUGACUUUGGGAUAACUUCAGGAAACUGGGGCUAAUACCGGAUAGGAGCUCCUGCUGCAUGGAGGGGGUUGGAAAGUUUCGGCUGUUGGGGAUGGACUCGCGGCUUAUCAGCUUGUUGGUGGGGUAGUGGCUUACCAAGGGUGUGACGGGUAGCCGGCCUGAGAGGGUGACCGGCCACAUUGGGACUGCGAGACGGCCCAGACUCCUACGGGAGGCAGCAGUGGGGAAUAUUGCACAAUGGGCGGAAGCCUGAUGCAGCAACGCCGCGUGCGGGAUGACGGCCUUCGGGUUGUAAACCGCUUUCGCCUGUGACGAAGCGUGAGUGACGGUAAUGGGUGAAGAAGCACCGGCUAACUACGUG
rnacentral:rRNA from 1 species